GGGUAGUGAGCAUAUAUGGUACAUGCGCUCGCCUGUUAAGCGAAGGAUAGCUGGUUCGAACCCAGCACUGCCCGCCA
rnacentral:tRNA from 1 species